GUGAGUAUAGUUUAAUAAAACAUUAGAUUGUGAUUCUAAAAACAGGGGAUAUUAAACCCCUUACACACC
rnacentral:tRNA from 1 species